GAUGAACGCUGGCGGCGUGCCUAAUACAUGCAAGUCGAGCGAACAGACGAGGAGCUUGCUCCUUCGACGUUAGCGGCGGACGGGUGAGUAACACGUAGGUAACCUACCUAUAAGACUGGGAUAACUUCGGGAAACCGGAGCUAAUACCGGAUAAUAUUUCGAACCGCAUGGUUCGAUAGUGAAAGAUGGCUUUGCUAUCACUUAUAGAUGGACCUGCGCCGUAUUAGCUAGUUGGUAAGGUAACGGCUUACCAAGGCAACGAUACGUAGCCGACCUGAGAGGGUGAUCGGCCACACUGGAACUGAGACACGGUCCAGACUCCUACGGGAGGCAGCAGUAGGGAAUCUUCCGCAAUGGGCGAAAGCCUGACGGAGCAACGCCGCGUGAGUGAUGAAGGCCUUCGGAUCGUAAAACUCUGUUAUUAGGGAAGAACAAAUGUGUAAGUAACUGUGCACGUCUUGACGGUACCUAAUCAGAAAGCCACGGCUAACUACGUG
rnacentral:rRNA from 1 species